rnacentral:rRNA from 1 species
UACGGAGGGAGCUAGCGUUGUUCGGAUAUACUGGGCGUAAAGCGCACGUAGGCGGCGCCGUAAGUCAGGGGUGAAAUCCCGGAGCUCAACUCCGGAACUGCCCUUGAAACUGCAGUGCUAGAAUCUUGGAGAGGCGAGUGGAAUUCCGAGUGUAGAGGUGAAAUUCGUAGAUAUUCGGAAGAACACCAGUGGCGAAGGCGACUCGCUGGACAAGUAUUGACGCUGAAAAGCGAAAGCCAGGGGAGCAAACGGG